rnacentral:rRNA from 1 species
UACGGGGGGGGCAAGCGUUGUUCGGAAUUACUGGGCGUAAAGGGCUCGUAGGCGGCCAACUAAGUCAUACGUGAAAUCCCUCGGCUUAACCGGGGAACUGCGUCUGAUACUGGAUGGCUUGAGAUUGGGAGAGGGAUGCGGAAUUCCAGGUGUAGCGGUGAAAUGCGUAGAUAUCAGGAGGAACACCGAUGGCGAAGGCAGCUCGCUGGGACGGUACUGACGCUGAGGCGCGAAAGCGUGGGGAGCAAACAGG